CCCGCCGGACCUGACUGCUAUCGGAUUGAUACUAAGCCAUGCGAGUCUUUGUAGUAAUACAAGGCAGACGGCUCAGUAACACGUAGUCAACCUACCCUAUGGACAAGAAUAAUCUCGGGAAACUGGGCAUAAUUCUUGAUAGAUCAUAAUGCCUGGAAUGGUUUAUGGUUAAAAUGAUUCGUCGCCAUAGGAUGGGACUGCGGCCUAUCAGCUUGUUGGUGAGGUAAUGGCCCACCAAGGCGAUUACAGGUACGGGCUCUGAGAGGAGAAGCCCGGAGAUGGGUACUGAGACACGGACCCAGGCCCUAUGGGGCGCAGCAGGCGAGAAAACUUUGCAAUGUGCGAAAGCACGACAAGGUUAAUCCGAGUGAUUUCUGCUAAAGAAAUCUUUUGCCAGUCAUAAAACCACUGGUGAAUAAGGGGUGGGCAAGUUCUGGUGUCAGCCGCCGCGGUAAAACCAGCACCUCAAGUGGUCGGGAUGAUUAUUGGGCCUAAAGCAUCCGUAGCCGGCUUUGUAAGUUUUCGGUUAAAUCCAUGUGCUCAACGCAUGGGCUGCCGAAAAUACUGCAUAGCUAGGGAGUGGGAGAGGUAGACGGUACUCGGGAGGAAGUGGUAAAAUGCUUUGAUCUCUCGAUGACCACCUGUGGCGAAGGCGGUCUACCAGAACACGUCCGACGGUGAGGGAUGAAAGCUGGGGGAGCAAACCGGAUUAGAUACCCGGGUAGUCCCAGCUGUAAACUAUGCAAACUCAGUGAUGCAUUGGCUUGUGGCCAAUGCAGUGUUGCAGGGAAGCCGUUAAGUUUGCCGCCUGGGAAGUACGUACGCAAGUAUGAAACUUAAGGAAUUGGCGGGGGAGCACCA
rnacentral:rRNA from 1 species